GUGCUCUCUUCAGCAGCACUAAAAUUGGAAUGAUACAGAGAAAUUAGCAUGGCCCCUGCACAAGGAUGAUAUACACAUUCGGGAGCAUCCUAUAUAUAUAU
rnacentral:snRNA from 1 species